UACGGAGGGGACUAGCGUUGUUCGGAAUUAUUGGGCGUAAAGGGCGCGUAGGCUGCGGGGUAAGUCAGGUGUGAAAUCUCAGAGCUCAACUCUGAAAUUGCACUUGAUACUGCUCUGCUAGAGGACUGGAGAGGAGAUUGGAAUUCACGGUGUAGCAGUGAAAUGCGUAGAUAUCGUGAGGAAGACCGGUGGCGAAGGCGGAUCUCUGGACAGUUCCUGACGCUGAGGCGCGAAGGCCAGGGGAGCAAACGGG
rnacentral:rRNA from 1 species